rnacentral:rRNA from 1 species
UACGUAGGGGGCAAGCGUUGUCCGGAUUUAUUGGGCGUAAAGAGCGUGUAGGCGGCCAUUCAGGUCAGCUGUGAAAACUCGAGGCUCAACCUCGAGACGUCGGUUGAAACCGUUUGGCUAGAGUCCGGAAGAGGAGAGUGGAAUUCCCGGUGUAGCGGUGAAAUGCGCAGAUAUCAGGAGGAACACCCGUAGCGAAGGCGGCACUCUGGGCCGAUACUGACACUGAGGAGCGAAAGCGUGGGGAGCGAACAGG